rnacentral:rRNA from 1 species
GACGAACCGAGCGAACGUUGUUCGGAAUCACUGGGCUUAAAGGGCGCGUAGGCGGGUGCUCAAGUCCGGGGUGAAAUCCCACAGCUCAACUGUGGGCUUGCAUUCGAUACGGGCAGGCUAGAGUUCGGUAGGGGAGACUGGAAUUCCUGGUGUAGCGGUGAAAUGCGCAGAUAUCAGGAGGAACACCUGUGGCGAAAGCGGCGCACUGGACCACAACUGACGCUGAGGCGCGAAAGCUAGGGGAGCAAACAGG